GACGAACGCUGGCGGCGUGCCUAAUACAUGCGAGUAGAACGCUGAAGGAGGAGCUUGCUCUUCUGGAUGAGUUGCGAACGGGUGAGUAACGCGUAGGUAACCUGCCUGGUAGCGGGGGAUAACUAUUGGAAACGAUAGCUAAUACCGCAUAACAGUAGAUGUUGCAUGACAUUUGCUUAAAAGGUGCAAUUGCACCACUACCAGAUGGACCUGCGUUGUAUUAGCUAGUUGGUGGGGUAACGGCUCACCAAGGCGACGAUACAUAGCCGACCUGAGAGGGGGAUCGGCCACACUGGGACUGAGACACGGCCCAGACUCCUACGGGAGGCAGCAGUAGGGAAUCUUCGGCAAUGGACGGAAGUCUGACCGAGCAACGCCGCGUGAGUGAAGAAGGUUUUCGGAUCGUAAAGCUCUGUUGUAAGAGAAGAACGAGUGUGAGAGUGGAAAGUUCACACUGUGACGGUAUCUUACCAGAAAGGGACGGCUAACUACGUG
rnacentral:rRNA from 1 species